rnacentral:rRNA from 1 species
CCUACGGGUGGCUGCAGUGAGGAAUAUUGGUCAAUGGGCGAGAGCCUGAACCAGCCAAGUCGCGUGAGGGAAGACGGUCCUAUGGAUUGUAAACCUCUUUUGCCGGGGAGCAAAAAGCGGUACGUGUACCGCAUCGAGAGUACCCGGAGAAGAAGCAUCGGCUAACUCCGUGCCAGCAGCCGCGGUAAUACGGAGGAUGCGAGCGUUAGCCGGAUGUAUUGGGCUAAAAGGGUGCGCAGGCGGCGCGUUAAGUCAGCGGUAAAAUUGCGGGGCUCAACCCCGAAGAGGCGUUGAAACUUGCUUGCGAGAGUGGGCGAGAAGUAUGCGGCAGGCGUGGUGUAGCGGUGAAA